rnacentral:lncRNA from 1 species
GGAAAACUGAGCUUCUCUGCCUUGAAGAUUGCUAAAGCCAUAACAGAUGCUGCUCGCAAAGCGCCAAACGCAACUGCUGCUGACGUUGAGGCCUCUAUCAAAUCGUGGCUCCGGCAUGCCCCCGAGCGCCUUGCCACCAAGUUUCAGAAGUCAAAGCAAGGACAACUUGAGCAAGCAGCAGAUACGGACUGAAACUUUCGCCACGGCCCAGCUUCCGAUUCCCUGGUCGUUCUGGGGAUAUUGAUGGCAGCAGAUUGAACUUCUAGAUGUUUUAUGCUCUCACUUUGUCAUAGGGUUGUGAUGCUGCAGAGCUUGUGGUCUUUAUGUUUGAAUUUAUUCACUCUAAAUGUUUUACAUGUAUGUCUCAUGCACUCAUCUUUUAGGUGCUUUAGAGGUUUAUUUGUGUAUGUAGAAGCCAUUGAAUUUAGCCAUGACCAUUUGUAUGGAUAUUGUUGUGCUUGGCGUGAAUAACGGCUGUGACAGAUUGAUGGUAUGUUUCUGUGAAUGAA